rnacentral:rRNA from 1 species
UACGGAGGAUCCAAGCGUUAUCCGGAUUCAUUGGGUUUAAAGGGUGCGUAGGCGGACUGAUAAGUCAGCGGUGAAAUCUCUCGGCUUAACCGAGAAACUGCCGUUGAUACUGUCAGUCUUGAGUACAGAUGAUGUGGGAAUAUGACAUGUAGUGGUGAAAUACUUAGAUAUGUCAUAGAACACCGAUUGCGAAGGCAGCUCACAAAACUGUCACUGACGCUGAGGCACGAAAGCGUGGGGAUCAAACAGG